GACAGAGGUGCCAAGCGUUAGGCGGAAUCACUGGGCUUAAAGCGUGUGUAGGCGGGGCGGUAAGUACCUUGUGAAAGCCCCCGGCUCAACCGGGGAACGGCUGGGUAUACUGGCGAUCUUGAGCCACCUAGGGGCAGUCGGAACAAGUGGUGGAGCGGUGAAAUGCGUAGAUAUCACUUGGAACGCCAAUGGUGAAAACAGACUGCUGGGGGUGUGCUGACGCUGAGACACGAAAGCCAGGGGAGCAAACGGG
rnacentral:rRNA from 1 species